UUGAACGCUGGCGGAAUGCUUUACACAUGCAAGUCGAGCGGCAGCGCGGGGGCAACCCUGGCGGCGAGCGGCGAACGGGUGAGUAACACAUCGGAACGUACCCAGUUGUGGGGGAUAGCCCGGCGAAAGCCGGAUUAAUACCGCAUACGACCUGAGGGUGAAAGGGGGGGAUCGCAAGACCUCUCGCAGUUGGAGCGGCCGAUGGCGGAUUAGCUAGUUGGUGGGGUAAAGGCCUACCUAGGCGACGAUCCGUAGCGGGUCUGAGAGGAUGAUCCGCCACACUGGGACUGAGACACGGCCCAGACUCCUACGGGAGGCAGCAGUGGGGAAUUUUGGACAAUGGGCGCAAGCCUGAUCCAGCCAUGCCGCGUGAGUGAAGAAGGCCUUCGGGUUGUAAAGCUCUUUCGGCCGGGAAGAAAUCGUGGUCUCUAACAUAGGCCAUGGAUGACGGUACCGGACUAAGAAGCACCGGCUAACUACGU
rnacentral:rRNA from 1 species